UACGAAGGGGGCUAGCGUUGUUCGGAUUUACUGGGCGUAAAGCGCACGUAGGCGGAUCGUUAAGUCGGGGGUGAAAUCCUGGAGCUCAACUCCAGAACUGCCUUCGAUACUGGCGAUCUAGAGUCCGGAAGAGGUGAGUGGAACUCCUAGUGUAGAGGUGGAAUUCGUAGAUAUUAGGAAGAACACCAGUGGCGAAGGCGGCUCACUGGUCCGGUACUGACGCUGAGGUUGACGAAGCGUGGGGAGCAAACAGGG
rnacentral:rRNA from 1 species